GAUGAACGCUGGCGGCGUGCCUAAUACAUGCAAGUCGAGCGAACAGAUAAGGAGCUUGCUCCUUUGACGUUAGCGGCGGACGGGUGAGUAACACGUGGGUAACCUACCUAUAAGACUGGGAUAACUUCGGGAAACCGGAGCUAAUACCGGAUAACAUUUGGAACCGCAUGGUUCUAAAGUGAAAGAUGGUUUUGCUAUCACUUAUAGAUGGACCCGCGCCGUAUUAGCUAGUUGGUAAGGUAACGGCUUACCAAGGCGACGAUACGUAGCCGACCUGAGAGGGUGAUCGGCCACACUGGAACUGAGACACGGUCCAGACUCCUACGGGAGGCAGCAGUAGGGAAUCUUCCGCAAUGGGCGAAAGCCUGACGGAGCAACGCCGCGUGAGCGAUGAAGGGUUUCGGCUCGUAAAACUCUGUUAUUAGGGAAGAACAAACGUGUAAGUAACUGUGCACGUCUUGACGGUACCUAAUCAGAAAGCCACGGCUAACUACGUG
rnacentral:rRNA from 1 species